GUCUUUUUGAUUAUAAUUUAAAGUCUAACCUGCCCACUGAAAUAAUUUGAAGGGCCGCGGUAUUUUGACUGUGCAAAGGUAGCAUAAUCAUUAGUCUUUUAAUUGAAGGCUUGUAUGAAUGGUUGGAUGAGGUAUUAACUGUCUCAGUUUAAUAAAUUAAAGAAUUUUAUUUUUAAGUUAAAAAGCUUAAAUUUAAUUGGAGGACGAGAAGACCCUAUAGAUCUUUAUAAUUAAAUUAUUAAUAAUUUUGUUGAAUAAAUUUGUUAUUAUUAAUUGAAUUAUUUUAUUGGGGUGAUAAAAAAAUUUAAUAAACUUUUUUUAAUAAAUUACAAUUAUUUUUGAAUAAUGGAUCCAUUUUUAGUGAUUAUAAGAUUAAGUUACCUUAGGGAUAACAGCGUAAUUUUUUUGGAGAGUUCAUAUCUAUAAGAAAGAUUGCGACCUCGAUGUUGAAUUAAAGGUUAAUUUUAGGUGUAGAAGUUUAAAAUUUUGGUCUGUUCGACCAUUAAAUC
rnacentral:rRNA from 1 species